ACAAAACCUCAGUGAAAGCGAAAGGUUGAUUGAUCCCCCUUGAGUCUACAUCCAGAGUUGAGUUAGUCAGUCUCCAGGUAACCAUAGAAAUAGCUGCACUGGCUUGUUUCCUCGGUUUCAUUUCCGUUUUUGUCCUGAUGCGUGAGUAUAUCUCACUCUCCACCCUCUCAGAUACAUACAAAAAAUAGCCGUUGAGUCUUCUUUUUGGCUUCUUCUCUCUUCCUCCAUGUUUUAGUCUCACUACUCGCCCCCACGAUAUUUCUCGUGUGACCCUUCUUUCCUCUUUCCUUUGGAUCUACAUAUAUUGGGUCCCAUUGCAAAGAGUUUCUCUGUGAGUGUAUUUAUGUGUAUAUUUUUAUCUCUGUGUGUGCAUGUUUCCUGGGUUCAUGUCUGAUAAUAAGGUAGAAGAAACAAUGGUGCGUACUAAUCGAAAUGUUGAAAUGAUUCAUGCAGAGAUGAAGGAUAAAGGGAAAGGGAUUCUU
rnacentral:lncRNA from 1 species